CGCACGGGUGAGUAACGCGUAUGCAACUUGCCUAUCAGAGGGGAUAACCCGGCGAAAGUCGGACUAAUACCGCAUGAAGCAGGGAUCCCGCAUGGGAAUAUUUGCUAAAGAUUCAUCGCUGAUAGAUAGGCAUGCGUUCCAUUAGGCAGUUGGCGGGGUAACGGCCCACCAAACCGACGAUGGAUAGGGGUUCUGAGAGGAAGGUCCCCCACAUUGGUACUGAGACACGGACCAA
rnacentral:rRNA from 1 species